rnacentral:rRNA from 1 species
AGCGAACGCUGGCGGCAGGCCUAACACAUGCAAGUCGAACGAACUCUCCGGAGUUAGUGGCGGACGGGUGAGUAACACGUGGGAACGUGCCUUUUGGUUCGGAAUAACUCAGGGAAACUUGUGCUAAUACCGAAUGUGCCCUUCGGGGGAAAGAUUUAUCGCCAUUAGAGCGGCCCGCGUCUGAUUAGCUAGUUGGUGAGGUAACGGCUCACCAAGGCGACGAUCAGUAGCUGGUCUGAGAGGAUGACCAGCCACACUGGGACUGAGACACGGCCCAGACUCCUACGGGAGGCAGCAGUGGGGAAUCUUGCGCAAUGGGCGAAAGCCUGACGCAGCCAUGCCGCGUGAAUGAUGAAGGUCUUAGGAUUGUAAAAUUCUUUCACCGGGGACGAUAAUGACGGUACCCGGAGAAGAAGCCCCGGCUAACUUCGUG